AUCUCCGUCGGAUGUCAGAGCCGAAGCUUCUCCGCUGUUGCUGAUGUUAUUGCAAGUGGACUCAGUGCCUCCCUGGACGUUCGAUUCGAUGGUGGCCUCGUUCGAGUUCUGGGUUUCCAAGGCGAUUGGAGCCUCAGCGACGGUUUGUUCGGUCAUUGUCAAUGAUGAUUUCGAUACCACACUUCGUCUUCCGCCACUGUUUAGGUCUGGAUUUUGGAAAAUGAACACCGGAAAUGUGAGAGGGAAACGGUUGUCUAUUCUAUUUAGCACUUUAACCC
rnacentral:misc_RNA from 1 species